GGUUAAAACGCUCGUAGUUGGGUUUCUGUCAGGAACAACUGGUCUGUCCUGAGUGUCGAGCACUAGUUCGGCUCCUGGCAUCUUCUUGGGGAACGGGUGCGUACUUCACUGUAUGGCCUGGAAACCUUGACGUUUACUUUGAGGAAAUGAGAGUGCUUCAAGCGGGUGUCCGCCACGAAUACGUUAGCAUGGAAUAAUAGUAUUGGACCUCGGAUCAUAGCUGUUGGUUGCUGGAAUCGGGGUGAGGGUAAACAGGGACAGUUGGGGGCAUUCGUAUUUAACUGUCAGAGGUGAAAUUCUUGGAUUUGUUAAAGGCGGACUACUGCGAAAGCAUUUGCCAAGGAUGUUUUCAUUGAUCAAGAACGAAAGUUAGGGGAUCGAAGACGAUCAGAUACCGUCCUAGUCUUAACAUAAACCAUGCCGACUAGAGAUUGGAGGUCGUUGCUCUUCCGACGCCUUCGGCAUCUUGGGAGAAAUCAAAGUCUUUGGGUUCCGGGGGGAGUAUGGUCGCAAGGCUGAAACUUAAAGGAAUUGACGGAAGGGCACCACCAGGAGUGGAGCCUGCGGCUUAAUUUGACUCAACACGGGGAAACUUACCAGGUCCAGACAUAGCAAGGAUUGACAGACUGAUAGCUCUUUCUCGAUUCUAUGGGUGGUGGUGCAU
rnacentral:rRNA from 1 species